rnacentral:misc_RNA from 1 species
GAUGAAGAACGUAGCGAAAUGCGAUAAGUAGUGUGAAUUGCAGAAUUCAGUGAAUCAUCGAAUCUUUGAACGCACAUUGCGCCCGCCAGCACUCUGGCGGGCAUGCCUGUUCGAGCGUCAUUUCAACCAUCAAGCCCCCAGGGGCUUGUGCUGGGGCCCUGCGGCUGCCCGCAGGCCCUGAAAACCAGUGGCGGGCUCGCUAGUCACACCGAGCGCAGUAGCACAUCUCGCUCAGGGCGUGCGGCGGGCUCAUGCCGUGAAACCCCCCACUGUAACCCCAAAGGUUGACCUCGGAUCAGGUAGGAAUACCCGCUGAACUUAAGCAUAUCAAUAAGCGGAGGA